rnacentral:lncRNA from 1 species
UUUGAGUUUCAAUCUAUUGUUUAAAAUUAUCUAUGAAUUAUUGUACUGAAUCAUCAUUUUUUUAAUCUCCUUUCUUUGGUCCUUUAUAAUAAUAGUAUAUCCUUUGUAAAAGAAGUGUAAAGACAUCGACGGCAAAGAGGUAGCGUAAGCAAAGUUGGCGGAGGCAAAUAAGGAGCGUGGAAUAAAGAAAGAGUCGAGUCCACAUGGGCGGCCAUAGCGUUUGUGUCCCACCUUUGUCCCCUUGCCUCUUUCUUGCCUUUCAUGCUCCCGACAACAUCUCUCUCUCUUCCUUUAACCCUAACUUCUAUGCAUCUUCUCCCUCCUGUAUAUAUCUCUCUUUCUCUAAACCCAUCAUCAACCAAACUCACAAACAAGAACAAGAAGAACAAGGAUUCUGCUUUGGAUAUAUUACACAGAGACAUAUAGAGAGAGAGGUGUCUUGAUCUUGAAAAAAAAUGGCUUACGAGAAAGUCAAUGAGCUUAACCUUAAGGACACAGAGCUUCGUCUUGGAUUACCCGGAACGGAGCAAGAUAAGGAAGAACAAGAGGUUUCUUGCGUUAGAAGCAACAAGCGUCAACUACAGAGCGAUAACGAGGAAGAAUCUACACUUCCUACGAAGUAAGUGAAGAUUUGAGUUUCAAUCUAUUGUUUAAAAUUAUCUAUGAAUUAUUGUACUGAUGAUGAUUCUUUGCUAAUUUACAGAACUCAAAUCGUUGGUUGGCCUCCGGUGAGAUCUUACCGUAAAAACAACAACAGUGUGAGCUAUGUGAAAGUGAGUAUGGAUGGAGCUCCAUACCUUAGGAAAAUAGAUCUCAAGACAUACAAAAACUAUCCAGAGCUUCUCAAGGCAUUAGAGAACCUGUUCAAGUUCACGAUCGGUGAAUACAGCGAAAGAGAAGGAUACAAAGGAUCUGGAGUUGUACCAACGUACGAGGAUAAAGAUGGAGAUUGGAUGUUGGUUGGUGAUGUUCCAUGGGAUAUGUUCUCUUCCUCUUGUAAGAGACUCAGGAUCAUGAAAGGAUCUGAUGCUCUUGCUUUGGACUCGGCCUUAUGAUGAUGAUGAUGAUGAUGAUGAAAGCUUUUGAUGGAUGAAACCCUUUUUGAUUUGAUUCUGAUCGGAGUUUGAGUAGUUGACCACACCAAAAACAGAACAUGUCAGGGUUUUGUUCGAUGAGAUAGAUCCAUCUUCAAGGGGUUUUCUUUUUGUUUUGUUUGAUCCUUGUUUUUAGAUUUGCAGCUUGUUGUAAAGAUAGAUGAAAUUUUUGUACAAUACGGACAUAUACACAAUAUAGAUGCGUAUGUAGCAAUGUUUUGACGAAAAGAGUCUUUAAUUUCAUAGUGAUAUCUACAAUAAUUUACAAUAAAGAACCUCAUAGUAUUCUUUAGGAGAGGGCAAAAUAAGGGUUUGGAUUCGAUCAGGAAAUUUUGGAUAUUUGUAACUCCAACAAAAAAAAAUACUUACAUUUAAUUAUAGUUAAAAACUGAAAAAAUUAUAAUUACUAAAAUUUUAGAAGAUAUAUGUGUUUAUUAUAUUUAUAUGAAAGUUUGAUAUAUUUUCGCUAAAUUAUUUAUUUAUUUAUUUAUUAAAAAGUAAAAUUAAAUUACAUUUUAUUUCGUAAUGAACAUUAUUAUAAUAUGUCAAAUUUCGAAUUUUUUAAUAAAAAAUAUUUUUACAUUUAAAAAAGAUUAAUCAAGAAACAGGCCUGAUAAGAGUUUCCAAAGCCCAAUUGACUUGAGUCCAUUGAUUUUGGUUAUGUGCUAUGACGGGGCGAAUCUAGCCCAUUUAAAUUAUGGGUGCACUAUUGAUAGAAAAACAUAAAAAUACAUUAGACAAGGAUCGAACCUAAGAAACUGAGGGUGCACAUACUUCUUUUUACCAUAUAAGCUAACCAAAUUUUGAUGUUUCUACGUGUAAAAUACUAAAUUUUAAAAUAAUUGUGGGUGCACAUGUCCCCUCAUCCUUUAACUUGGCUUCGCCAGGUGUUUCCACCUUCGAUGAUCAGAUAAGUGGAGAAGGUGAAAUCUACAUAAAGCUUGAAUGAAUUGGUACAUUUGAUAUAGCAACGAAAUUAUACAUAGUAUUAAUUUAAUUUAUUUUACUUCGUAAGUCAAGCUAGGCAAGAUUGUUUUGCGUGAAAUUUCGACAGGAAGACACUUGUUUCCAGUUAAUUGGGAAAUAAUUAAUAACUAGAAUAAGACAUGCGCUAGUGCGCAUAAUGAUUUUGUUUGUAUAUAUUAUCGAUAAUUCUUUUUAUAUAUUUGUUUAUUUUGUUAAUGCAUAUACAAUAUUUUUUGCUAAUAUUAUAUAAUUUCUUUCUGAUAGAUCGGAUUAAUUUUUAUUAAAAGUUGUGGAACUAAAUUAUAAUUAAUAUAUCAUAGGUUGAUUGGAUUUAAACAAAUUGUGACACAAAAACCUUAUUUUUUUCACCGGACACAUUAUUGAAAAAAAUGAAUAGUAAUGUUUCCACAGUUGAAUUGUUUUGACAUUGAUCUUCCAUAUGGUUUUGACAUGUUUCAGAUCAACAAUCAAAUUAAUACAUGUCAUUUUAAUGAUUUUAGUCGUAUGGUUAAGUAAAACUUACAUUUUUGUAAUUUAAAUUUGUUUUAAAAAAAUUCAGAAUAUAACAUAUAAGAAAAAAUCUAACAUAUAAGAAAAAAUCUAACAUAUAAGAAAAAUAUAACAUAUAAGAUUUCCUCAUUUUUGUAAAUUAAAGUCGUUUUAAACAAAAAUUAAAUUAUAACAUAUAAGGUUUCCUCAUUUUUGUAAUUUAAAGUCAUUUUAAAAAUUUUAAAAUAUAACAUAUAAGUAAAAAAACUAGUUUUUUAAUUAUAUGGUUAAUGUGAUUAUUUUAAUUUUUUUAAUAAUAUAAAAUUUAAAAAAAAAUGAAGAAUGAUGCAAAAAUUGUUAUAAAUUUUUUAUUAUUCAUAGUCAUUAACUGUCAUAUAUAUGUUAAUACUAUUAGGUAAUUUCGUAGUUUUUAUUUAAAGAAAUAAUACAUGUUUCUUAUAUUUUGAGUUAAUAUAAUGUUUCUUAAUAACUGGAUUUGAACCAACAUUUUUUCAAUUAAUUCUUAAGCUGUCAUGUAAACUAAAUUGUCAUCCUAAUUAAGUGAUACCUAAACAGUGUCUCUUUUUAAUUAGUACAAACUUAAUGUUAUAAUUUUUUUAAUAGUCCUCAAUUAAUAUAUAGGGAUUCAUAUAAUCAUAUUUAACAUGUUUAAUGAGGGGUCGUACAUAUUUAUAAUAUAUUUUUUUUUUUAUUGCUAUCUUAGCUUAACUGGUCAUGCAUGUUUCGUAUGUUUUUGAUACUGCUAGUACAUUCAAGUCUAGUUUUGUAUAAUCUAAGUCUGUAAUCUAAUUUUCAACAGUGGUGAUAUAUAUAUUAAUGGGAAAAUUAGGGCACGAAUAAUUAAGAAUUGCAAUUCUAUACUAAGAAAAAUGAGUUGAAAACAUGUUUUGAAAGUUUAAUCCUGCGAGUUAAAACAUUUUGAGGCACCUUUUUCUUAAUAUUUGCAAAUCUAAUGUCUUAACUUUUUAUCAUAUUCAUUACUGCAUUUUGCCGCGUGCCAAUUAACAUAAGUGCACGCUACUACAAUCGAAUGGUAUAUCGAUGCAGUAUUGUAUGAUUGAAUCCAUAAAAAACUAGUGGUAUAUAACAAUAAGAAUACACAAACUUUUCUAAUCUAAGCAAAUAAGAAGAUGGAUGAUUUGUAACAAUCUAAGUAAUGACAGUAGUGAUCAUGGGCCUUUGGAGAAAGUGAAAGAGCAGUCUCAAGCCCACACGGUCACCACCAAAGUUCAGCCUAAUCCUCCUCUGUCGUCUAGUGUCAAACAGAAAGCAUUCAAGGUUCAAUCUUCUUGCUCCAGUACGACGAGGCCAGCUAAUGGCAUAACGGUUGGAAAUAGAUUUGAGUGUCUUGGUACACAGCCUGUCAUGUGCUGAGUCAGAGUAGAGGAUAAGAUCUUAUGUCUCUAUAUAAUGUAAAACGUGAACAUGUAAUCAGCAAGCAAGAAAGUAAUAAAAGUUAAAACGUUCUUCUUCACAAAACUCUAAGUUUUUUCAUGGUAUCAGAGCCAUGGAGGACUCUGACGCUAUUUCUACGCCAUCACUGAGUAUCUCUCAGUGUGUGACGUUAAAACUCACAUCUUCCAACUACUUGCUUUGGAAGACACAGUUCGAAUCCUUUCUUUACAGUCAAUCCUUGCUCGGUUUUCUCAAUGGAGGUUCUCUUCGCCCUGCUCCAACGGUAACGGUUCAAGAAGGAGAUGGAGUCACAGAGCAGCCUAAUCCUGAGUUUCAGAAGUGGAUGCGCAAAGACCAGCUUGUCAUGGCUUGGUUGUUCGGUUCUCUGUCUGAGGAUGCUCUCAGAUCUGUCUACGGUCUCACGUCAGCUCAGGAGGUCUGGUUCUGCCUUGGAAAGAAGUACAAUCGUGUCUCAGCUACAAGAAAACUAGAUCUCCAACGUAAGCUUCAAGGUAUGACUAAAAGCCAAAGAACCAUGACAGAGUAUCUAGGAGAGAUUAAGAGUAUCUGUGACCAGUUAGACUCUAUAGGGUGUAGCAUGACUGAGCAUGAGAUGAUAUAUGGUGCGUUGAGCGGUUUAGGGAAAGAGUAUGAAUCCAUAUGUACGGUUAUUGAGCAUUCUAUGGAUUCGGUUACUGAGAUGACGUUUGAAGAUGCUGUGUUCAAGCUCACUACCUUUGAUGAUAAGCUUCAGGUCUAUAACCAAAGUGCCACAGUUAAUCCUCAUCUUGCCUUUCAUGUUGGAAGGGGUUACUCUAACAACAGAGGCAGAGGAGGUUACACUAACAGAGGGGAUUAUAGAGGUGGUCGAAGCAACAACAACUACUCCACAAGGGGACGUGGCUUUCAACAGCAGUUCUCAAGUGGUAAUGGUCGUGACAAUGUUAGCUCAGGGUCCGGUUCCAACAACAGACCUACCUGCCAAAUCUGUGGGCGGUAUGGUCAUUCAGCUGCGAGAUGCUACAAUCGCUAUGAUCAAGAGUCUCAGUCUUCAGAUAACCUACCCAAUGCGCUCACCACAAUGAGACUUUCUGAUCAAGAACACAGUACCGGUCAAGAAUGGUAUCCAGAUUCUGCUGCGUCUGCCCACAUUACAAGCAACCAGUCUCAGUUAACGUCAGCAGAACCCUAUCUUGGGAAUGAUCAAGUGAUCGUUGGGAAUGGAGAUUACCUGCCAAUCACGCAUGUUGGAUCUGUCGCCUUACACACACAACAAGGUACUCUUCCUCUUGAUGAUGUGUUAGUCUGUCCUGGAAUAACAAAGUCUUUGAUAUCGGUUUCAAAACUCACUUCAGACUAUCCAUGUGAAGUUACAUUUGAUUCUGAAACUGUUUUUGUUAAGGACAAGCAAACAAAACAGGUGAUAACUCAAGGCAGAAGGGAUAAGGAUCUGUAUAUGUUGAAGGAUGCAAGAUAUCAAGCUUUUUAUUCUACAAGACAGAGAGCUACAAGUGUGGAGAUUUGGCAUCAAAGGCUAGGCCAUCCUCACAAGGACAUCCUUCAGCAGUUAGCCAGGAGUAACGCUAUCAGUUUGAAUAAAGGGGGGACAUUGGAGCUCUGUGAAGCGUGUCAGAUUGGCAAGAGUUGCAGGCUUCCUUUUCUUCUUUCAGAAACUUUUUCUAAUAGACCUUUAGAGAAGAUACAUUGUGACUUAUGGGGACCUAGUCCAGUUGUUUCUGCUCAAGGAUUUGGAUUACCCGGAAUAGAGCAAGAUAAGGAAGAACAAGAGGUUUCUUGCGUUAGAAGCAACAAGCGUCAACUACAAAGCGAUAACGAGGAAGAAUCUACACUUCCUACGAAGUAAGUAAAGAUUUGAGUUUCAAUCUAUUGUUUCAAAUUAUCUAUGAAUUGUUGUACUAAUGAUGAUUCUUUGCUAAUUUACAGAACUCAAAUCGUUGGUUGGCCUCCGGUGAGAUCUUACCGUAAAAACAACAACAGUGUGAGCUAUGUGAAAGUGAGUAUGGAUGGAGCUCCAUACCUUAGGAAAAUAGAUCUCAAGACAUACAAAAACUAUCCAGAGCUUCUCAAGGCAUUAGAGAACCUGUUCAAGUUCACGAUCGGUGAAUACAGCGAAAGAGAAGGAUACAAAGGAUCUGGAGUUGUACCAACGUACGAGGAUAAAGAUGGAGAUUGGAUGUUGGUUGGUGAUGUUCCAUGGGAUAUGUUCUCUUCCUCUUGUAAGAGACUCAGGAUCAUGAAAGGAUCUGAUGCUCUUGCUUUGGACUCGGCCUUAUGAUGAUGAUGAUGAUGAUGAUGAAAGCUUUUGAUGGAUGAAACCCUUUUUGAUUUGAUUCUGAUCGGAGUUUGAGUAGUUGACCACACCAAAAACAGAACAUGUCAGGGUUUUGUUCGAUGAGAUAGAUCCAUCUUCAAGGGGUUUUCUUUUUGUUUUGUUUGAUCCUUGUUUUUAGAUUUGCA